rnacentral:rRNA from 1 species
GACGAACGCUGGCGGCGUGCCUAACACAUGCAAGUCGAGCGGAGGCUGAGGAUAGCCCAGCGAUGGGAAGGAAUCGGCUUUAGCGGCGAACGGGUGAGUAACACGUGGGCAAUCUGCCCUCUGGAGCGGGAUAACAGACCGAAAGGCCUGCUAAUACCGCAUGAGGCCGUACUCUCGCAUGGGAGAACGGUCAAAGGGGAAACCCGCCGGAGGAGGAGCCCGCGUCCCAUUAGCUAGUUGGCGGUGUAACGGACCACCAAGGCGAUGAUGGGUAGCCGGCCUGAGAGGGUGAACGGCCACAUUGGGACUGAGACACGGCCCAGACUCCUACGGGGGGCAGCAGUGAGGGAUUUUCGGCAAUGGGCGAAAGCCUGACCGAGCGACGCCGCGUGAGCGAAGAAGGCCUUCGGGUCGUAAAGCUCUGUCUAGGGGGAAGAGAGAGGACGGUACCCCUGGAGGAAGCCACGGCUAACUACGUGCCAGCAGCCGCGGUAAUACGUAGGUGGCGAGCGUUGUCCGGAAUUACUGGGCGUAAAGGGCGCGCAGGCGGUUCGUUAAGUCUGGGGUGAAAUCCUUCGGCUCAACCGGAGGGGGACCCUGGAUACUGGCGGGCUUGAGUGUGGGAGAGGGAAGCGGAAUUCCACGUGUAACGGUGAAAUGUAUAGAUAUGUGGAGGAACACCGGUGGC